CGCGGCCUAUCAGCUUGUUGGUGGGGUAACGGCCUACCAAGGCAUCGACGGGUAGCUGGUCUGAGAGGACGAUCAGCCACACUGGGACUGAGACACGGCCCAGACUCCUACGGGAGGCAGCAGUGGGGAAUAUUGCGCAAUGGGCGAAAGCCUGACGCGGCAACGCCGCGUGGGGGAUGAAGGCUUUCGGGUUGUAAACCCCUUUCAGUGAUGACGAAAAUGACGGUAAUCACAGAAGAAGCCCCGGCCAACUACGUGCCAGCAGCCGCGGUAACACGUAGGGGGCGAGCGUUGUCCGGAUUUAUUGGGCGUAAAGAGCUCGUAGGCGGUUGCGUAAGUCGGACGUGAAAACUCAGGGCUCAACCCUGAGAUGCCGUUCGAUACUGCGCUGACUAGAGUCCGGUAGGGGAGCAUGGAAUUCCUGGUGUAGCGGUGAAAUGCGCAGAUAUCAGGAGGAACACCAGUGGCGAAGGCGGUGCUCUGGGCCGGAACUGACGCUGAGGAGCGAAAGCAUGGGUAGCAAACAGGAUUAGAUACCCUGGUAGUCCAUGCCGUAAACGUCGGGCACUAGGUGUGGGACCUACUUAACGGGUUCCGUGCCGUAGCUAACGCAUUAAGUGCCCCGCCUGGGGAGUACGG
rnacentral:rRNA from 1 species